UGGGGAAUAUUGGACAAUGGGGGAAACCCUGAUCCAGCAAUGCCGCGUGAGUGAAGAAGGCCUUAGGGUUGUAAAGCUCUUUCGCCCGCGAAGAUAAUGACGGUAGCGGGAGAAGAAGCCCCGGCUAACUCCGUGCCAGCAGCCGCGGUAAUACGGAGGGGGCUAGCGUUGUUCGGAAUUACUGGGCGUAAAGCGUACGUAGGCGGAUGCGCAAGUUGGGGGUGAAAUCCCGGGGCUUAACCUCGGAAUUGCCCUCAAAACUGCACGUCUUGAGACCGAGAGAGGAAAGGAGAAUUCCUAGUGUAGAGGUGAAAUUCGUAGAUAU
rnacentral:rRNA from 1 species